rnacentral:rRNA from 1 species
UCUUCAUUGCAGAAGAGGAGAGUGAAACUCCAUGUGUAGCGGUGGAAUGCGUAGAUAUAUGGAAGAACACCAGUGGCGAAGGCGGCUCUCUGGUCUGCAACUGACGCUGAGGCUCGAAAGCAUGGGUAGCGAACAGGAUUAGAUACCCUGGUAGUCCAUGCCGUAAACGAUGAGUGCUAAGUGUUGGGAGGUUUCCGCCUCUCAGUGCUGCAGUAACGCAUUAAGCACUCCGCCUGGGGAGUACGACCGCAAGGUUGAAACUCAAAGGAAUUGACGGGGGCCCGCACAAGCGGUGGAGCAUGUGGUUUAAUUCGAAGCAACGCGAAGAACCUUACCAGGUCUUGACAUCUAGUGCAAUCUGUAGAGAUACGGAGUUCUUCGGGGACGCUAAGAAGGUGUGAUG